CCUACGGGUGGCUGCAGUAGGGAAUAUUGCUCAAUGGGGGAAACUCUGAAGCAGCAACGCCGCGUGGAGGAUGAAGGUUUUCGGAUUGUAAACUCCUUUUGUUAGAGAAGUUAAUUACGGUAUCUAACGAAUAAUUCCCGGCGAACCGCGUGCCAGCAGCCGCGGUACUACGGCGGGUGCAAGCGUUACUCGGAAUCACUGGGCGUAAAGGGCGCGUAGGCGGGAUAGCAAGUGAGUUGUGAAAUCCUAUGGCUUAAACGUGGAACUGCAUUUGGAACUGUUAGGCUGGAGUGUGGGGGAGGUAGGUGGAAUUAGGGGUGGAGAGGGGAAAUGAGGAGAGAGAACGAAGAACUCAGAGGGAGAAGGGAGCCCA
rnacentral:rRNA from 1 species